GGUAAUGAUCGGCAUAUUCAUGUUAUUUCCUGGAAAUCAUUAUCAAAUGCAAAUGUCUCUAGUGCAUGCGUGGUUAUGUUGGACGGGGGUCCUCUGGUGGUUGUUAAUAGUCUUCCUCAUUGUGUCCGCAUGCUCAAUUCAUCUUUGGCCGAUGCUCAUUUCUUCUUUGGCUGAUCUUCCAAACCAAACCCAGUAUCUUCUGGCACCUAUUGUUUUGACUCGAGAUCCAUAACCAGUACCCAUUGUUUUAAUUCAGAGUCCAUAACGAUUCGUACAGUGUUCAAGGCACACACCAUAUUAGCUACUAAGGGCCUUAGUGGGCUUUAUAUUCACAUAGCUGCUAUAACUCCAUUUUAAAAUCAAAAUCAUAUUCUAAACUAAAAUCAAAAUAAUAUUCUAAGAUUCAAGCUACUUUGUUAAGGUAACUGCGACAGCAGACAGGGAGAGAGGCAGAAAUAGAAUGGGGAAAAGCAACAGACCGCAGGGCACAGAGGGUGGGAUUCAUCAACAGGGCCAGGGCAAUGGACGACACAAAAAAAUGUAGCUGCGGGCUACUGGGAAGAGAGAGCAAGUCAAGAACAGGGAGUGGGAGCCAGACAGACACGGAGAAAGGAACAUAAAGACAGCGAUGGGCUACAAGACAGAUAGGGAGGAAAUAAAAAAUAGUGUCAGGGAGCCGGACAGAGAGAGAGAGAGGGGGAGAAAUACAGGCAAAUGGCGUGGGUCUAUGGGACAGAGAAUGAGGAAUUAAAACACAGAGAGGGGGAACCAGCCAUAGAGAGAGACACCAAAGAAAAAUUCCAGACUACACAGGGCAGAAGGAGGAAUUAAAAACUGGGGACAGGGAGCCAGACGGAAAGAGAUAGAGAUUGCAGGGAAUAGCGGUGAGUGCAAGAAGAGGGAAGAAUUAAUAAACUGGGACAGGGAGCUGGACAGAGAGGGACAAAGAAAGACAAAAAUAGCGGCAGGGUACAGGUCAGAGAGGAAUGAUUAAAGAAUGGGGACACUGGGAUGGACACAGAUGGAGAAAAAAGCAACAGGCUAUGCGUCAGAGGGAGGAAUUAAAGAAACAGGGACAGGAAGCAAGGAAGAGGCAGAUGGAGGAAGGCGGGGACACGACCCAAGAGGCAACAGGGCAGAGAGGGAGGAAUGAAAAGUCCGGGACGGGGAGCUGGGAAAGGAGAGGCAGAGAAAAACAGAAUCACAACGUGCUACGGGGACAAGAAGGAAGUAACCGAACAACAGG